rnacentral:snRNA from 1 species
AAGAUCGUACUCUGAACAGAAUCGUUUUAUGAGUACAACCUCCUAAUCGAGAAGAAACCAUGACCCAAAUCCUGAUGAUGAUGGUUGCCGUCCCCGCCCGGAGAGCGUUUCGAUGAACGGCAGGGGACGGUUCCAGAAGGA